GUUUUCUUUACUUUCAGAGAGCGAGCUGAUCAAGGGGUCGAAAAUCUAGAUAUUGCCAGAUGUUCACGGUCCGAGGAACAGGCUGUGGAAGCUUAUUGCUGGAAAAAGUGUCCAUAACCAGAGGUUAUAUCAGCUGUUUUGGUGAACCCCUCCCGCAUCUGAACUUGCUGACACAUAGGGCACAGCAUGAUCAUAGGUAUGUUUUGAUGUGAGAGAAGAAGCCAGUCCCGCCAUCACCACCUUACCCGCUCUUAAGAUAACCUUAUGGCCAACUGGGGGCCCAAGGCUGGUUAGGAGACACCGCAAAUGUGAUGAACUGAGAGAAUAUUAGGGUAGCGGUGUAAUUCAAUGAAUCAUAUGCUGUCUGCCGCUGUUCUUACCUAUUUCCCUUUCUGUAUUCUACACCUCUCUCACCACCUUGUCUUUCUUCCUUAUUUUAUAAUGCACACCAUAUGUGCAUUGAAGUACAGAAUGAACUUGUAUUUAUAAACAAUUGUUGGAAAAAUUACUUCUGUCAUGCAGAAAGUAGA